CUUUCAUGGGCGUGCGCGCGGACUGGAUGGAGUUGCCAUGGAAACGGAGCGCAACACUGCAAAUGUCAUGAGGAAACACCCCGUUUCUGGCUGAUUUCACUGUUUUCAGGAAUGGUUUAAUGUCUUCGAAAAAGUCUGUUAGCAUUUCUACCGUUUUCAGACGACGUAUCAUCAGAAGGCAGUGUCCAAGAUUUCAAUAUUUCUGAAGGGAGCUGCUGACAGAGAUGUAGGAAGCGCUGAAAAGAUUCUUCAGUGCUGAUGGCCUGCUGCAUCCAGCAGAGUCGGAGUGAACCUACUGUAAGACAACAUCUCAAAGAUGCUAUUGACCACAAGACUAGUACACUGUAUUUUCAGCAUCAUUCCUCCAGUCUUCAGUGUCACAUGGAUCCCUCAGAAAUGCUGAUUUGCUGCUCAAGAAACUUAUUAUCAGCGUUGAAACAGUUCUGCUGCUUCAUUUUUUUUGUGGAAACCGUGAUGCAUUUUAUUUUUCAGGAUUCACAGAUGAAUACAAAGUUCAAGAGACCAGCAUUUAUUUGAAACAGAUGAUUUUGAACAAU